ensembl:lncRNA
GUAAAGAAUGAUAGCUGGAAAGUGAGGUUUCCAUAUUCAGAAAGAAAUAUCUCGUGUCCUCGUAUUGCAGAUUUUUUUUUUCCCUUUUUCAAUAACCUCUUCACAUCUUCUUCACCUUUAUCUUACAGGUUUUCAGCGGUUGUGUGAAAAUCAGCUCAGAACCUGUUUGUUUCUUCCUGUGGGUGCUCUCAGUGUUUCAAGCCCAGGGCCUCCAAGGAGUGGCAAGGCAAUGCCAGAGCGAUGAAGGCUUGUGAUUCAACCUGCCGGUGUGUGAAAGAUCCAAAGAGAUGAAAAAUGUUUCUUCCUUUCAGCAGAUAAUAGGAAUCAGUAACAGUUGAAAUGCACUGGUCUGUGGCUUCCUGGUGGGAAACAAGAUGAGUCGCCAGUGACUAAAACCGAUAACUACAUUGUUCCCAAGCUUAGGAUAAAGAAGG